rnacentral:sRNA from 2 species
AUCACUGCUAAUCUAUCACUGCUAAUCUAUCACUGCUAAUCUAUCACUGCCAACCUAUCUACCACUGCCAAUCUAUCUAUCACUGCUAAUCUAUCGCUGCCAACCUAUCUACCGCUGCCAACCUACCUACCGCUGCCAACCUAUCUACCGCUGCCAACCUAUCUACCGCUGCCAACCUAUCUAUCGCUGCUAAUCUAUCACUGCUAAUCUAUCGCUGCUAAUCUAUCGCUGCUAAUCUAUCGCUGCCAAUCUACCUACCACUGCCAAUCUAUCUAUCACUGCUAAUCUAUCGCUGCUAAUCUAUCGCUGCUAAUCUAUCGCUGCUAAUCUAUCACUGCUAAUCUAUCGCUGCCAACCUACCUACCGCUGCCAACCUAUCUAUCGCUGCCAAUCUAUAUAGGGUAAAUCAUGGUCCCAUUUGGUCCCAUUUUGUAAAAUGGGACCAAAUGGGACCAGAAUCAUUAAUUUAUUAGUAAAACAUGAUCUGGGAUUAGAUUUAUAAUAUAAACAGUGUAAAGUGACUAAUUUGCUAAACACUAUAUGGGACCAGGACUAAGAUAUCUAAUAAUGGGACUGAGGAAAAAUUUGGUCCCAGUCCCAUGCAUGGUCACACAGCCAGUCUACUGAUGGCUCAAAAUAUGAGAAAACAGGCAAUUUUGAAGCUGAAAUAGCAUACUCAGAAAAUGAUUCAAAUUAUUUCUUUGAUUCUUGAUAGAUUGAAAAAGAAUCAGAGGUUUUUGAUGCUGAAUUGUUUGCUAUUUUAAGAGUCUUCAAAUUAAUUGAAUUGAAAAUUGAACAGUGGAA